rnacentral:rRNA from 1 species
AUGGAGUUUUUGACUCAGCCAUUCGGCAGAUCCAGUGUCAUUGAAGAAGUAGGAGAGAGCUUGGUGCCGUCCCCUGUGGCGAGGGCGCCGACGGGAUGCGGUAUGCUGGAGGAGCCGAGUAUGGCGGUCAGAUCCACUGUCCUUGAGGAACUAGGAGAUUGCUUGAUGCCGGACGCUGUGCUGCCUUGUCUGAGGGGAGAUGGUACGGUGGAAGAGCAGCAAGUGGCUGAGCGGCCAGGAGCGGUUGACAGCACGGACGCUCAGGUUUUCGCCGCCAAUGAAGCCCUGGUGUGCAGGAGGGAUAAUUCACCUCCAGCGUCGGAGCUGUCAACUAUGAAGAUGAAUCUCCUGGUUGGAACUAGAGGCUGA